GUGGGGAAUAUUGGACAAUGGGGGGAACCCUGAUCCAGCCAUGCCGCGUGUGUGAAGAAGGCCUUUUGGUUGUAAAGCACUUUAAGCGAGGAGGAGGCUACCGAGAUUAAUACUCUUGGAGAGUGGACGUUACUCGCAGAAUAAGCACCGGCUAACUCUGUGCCAGCAGCCGCGGUAAUACAGAGGGUGCAAGCGUUAAUCGGAUUUACUGGGCGUAAAGCGCGCGUAGGUGGCCAAUUAAGUCAAAUGUGAAAUCCCCGAGCUUAACUUGGGAAUUGCAUUCGAUACUGGUUGGCUAGAGUAUGGGAGAGGAUGGUAGAAUUCCAGGUGUAGCGGUGAAAUGCGUAGAGAUCUGGAGGAAUACCGAUGGCGAAGGCAGCCAUCUGGCCUAAUACUGACACUGAGGUGCGAAAGCAUGGGGAGCAAACAGGAUUAGAAACCCGUGUAGUCC
rnacentral:rRNA from 1 species